AACGAACGCUGGCGGCAUGCCUAACACAUGCAAGUCGAACGGGAUCCUAGCUUGCUAGGUGAGAGUGGCGGACGGGUGAGUAACACGUGGGAAUCUGCCUUUUGGUUCGGGAUAACCGCGGGAAACUGCGGCUAAUACCGAAUGCCCUCGAGAGAGGAAAGAUUUAUCGCCAGAAGAGGAGCCCGCGUCCGAUUAGGUAGUUGGUGGGGUAAAGGCCUACCAAGCCGACGAUCGGUAGCUGGUCUGAGAGGAUGAUCAGCCACACUGGGACUGAGAUACGGCCCAGACUCCUACGGGAGGCAGCAGUGGGGAAUAUUGGACAAUGGGGCGAACCCUGAUCCAGCAAUGCCGCGUGAGGUGAUGAAGGCCUUAGGGUUGUAAAGCUCUUUUGCCAGGGAAGAUGAUGACUGUACCUGGAGAAUAAGCCCCGGCUAACUUCGUGCCAGCAGCCGCGGU
rnacentral:rRNA from 1 species